rnacentral:rRNA from 1 species
UGGGGAAUAUUGCACAAUGGGCGAAAGCCUGAUGCAGCAACGCCGCGUGGAGGAAGAAGGCCUUCGGGUUGUAAACUUCUUUUGACGCUGACGAGGAAGGACGGUAGGCGUCGAAUAAGUCACGGCUAACUACGUGCCAGCAGCCGCGGUAAAACGUAGGUGGCGAGCGUUAUCCGGAUUUACUGGGCGUAAAGCGUGUGCAGGCGGGGUGGUAAGUGGUGUAUGAAAUCUCCCAGCUUAACUGGGAGGGGUUAUGCCAGACUGCCAUUCUAGAGUGCGAGAGAGGAGCGUGGAAUUCCGGGUGUAGUGGUGAAAUGCGUAGAGAUCCGGAGGAACCCCAGAGGCGAAGGCGGCGCUCUGGCUCGCAACUGACGCUCAGACACGACAGCAUGGGGAGCGAAC